UGUUGUAAGCAGCACGACGUCCACGAGUUUUAAGAAUCCUCAAUCCGAUAUAGAAC
rnacentral:sRNA from 1 species